rnacentral:rRNA from 1 species
GAUGAACGCUGGCGGCGUGCCUAAUACAUGCAAGUCGAGCGAACAGACGAGGAGCUUGCUCCUCUGACGUUAGCGGCGGACGUGUGAGUAACACGUGGAUAACCUCCCUAUAAGACUGGGAUAAAUUCGGGAAACCGGAGCUAAUACCGGAUAAUAUAUUGAACCGCAUGGUUCAAUAGUGAAAGACGGUUUUGCUGUCACUUAUAGAUGGAUCCGCGCCGCAUUAGCUAGUUGGUAAGGUAACGGCUUACCAAGGCAACGAUGCGUAGCCGACCUGAGAGGGUGAUCGGCCACACUGGAACUGAGACACGGUCCAGACUCCUACGGGAGGCAGCAGUAGGGAAUCUUCCGCAAUGGGCGAAAGCCUGACGGAGCAACGCCGCGUGAGUGAUGAAGGUCUUCGGAUCGUAAAACUCUGUUAUUAGGGAAGAACAAAUUUGUACGUAACUAUGCACGUCUUGACGGUACCUAAUCAGAAAGCAACGGCUAACUACGUG